rnacentral:rRNA from 1 species
CCUACGGGAGGCAGCAGUGGGGAAUAUUGCACAAUGGGGGGAACCCUGAUGCAGCAACGCCGCGUGGGGGAAGAAGUACUUCGGUAUGUAAAGCCCUUUCAGUAGGGAAGAAAAUGACGGUACCUGACCAAGAAGCCCCGGCUAACUACGUGCCAGCAGCCGCGGUAAUACGGAGGGGGCAAGCGUUAUCCGGAUUUACUGGGUGUAAAGGGAGCGUAGACGGGAAAGCAAGUCUGAAGUGAAAGCCUGUGGCCCAACCACGGGACUGCUUUGGAAACUGUGUUGCUGGAGUGCAGGAGGGGUAGGUGGAAUUCUUGGUGUAGCGGUGAAAUGCGUAGAUAUUAGGAGGAACACCGGUGGCGAAGGCGACUUACUGGACUGUAACUGACGUUGAGGCUCGAAGGCGUGGGGAGCAAACAGGAUUAGAUACCCUGGUAGUC